AUACGGAGGGGGCGAGCGUUGUUCGGAAUUACUGGGCGUAAAGCGCGUGUAGGCGGUCGAGCAAGUCGAAUGUGAAAUCCCUGGGCUCAACCCGGGAAUUGCAUCCGAAACUGCUUGGCUAGAGUCCCGGAGAGGAAGGCAGAAUUCCCAGUGUAGGGGUGAAAUCCGUAGAUAUUGGGAGGAAUACCAGUGGCGAAGGCGGCCUUCUGGACGGUGACUGACGCUGAGAUGCGAAAGCGUGGGGAGCAAACAGGAUUAGAUACCCGAGUAGUCC
rnacentral:rRNA from 1 species